UACGAAGGGGGCUAGCGUUGCUCGGAAUUACUGGGCGUAAAGGGCUCGUAGGCGGCCAACUAAGUCGGAUGUGAAAUCCCCCAGCUUAACCUGGGAACUGCAUCCGAUACUGGAUGGCUUGAAUUCCGGGAGAGGGAUGCAGAAUUCCAGGUGUAGCGGUGAAAUGCGUAGAUAUCUGGAGGAAUACCGGUGGCGAAGGCGCAUCCUGGACCGGCAUUGACGCUGAGGCGCGAAA
rnacentral:rRNA from 1 species